rnacentral:rRNA from 1 species
UACGGAGGGCGCAAGCGUUAAUCGGAAUCACUGGGCGUAAAGCGUGCGUAGGCUGCUUGAUAAGUCAGACGUGAAAUCCCUCGGCUCAACCGGGGAACUGCGUUUGAUACUGUCGAGCUCGAGUCCUGGAGAGGGUGGCGGAAUUCCUGGUGUAGGAGUGAAAUCCGUAGAUAUCAGGAGGAACACCGGUGGCGAAGGCGGCCACCUGGACAGGUACUGACGCUGAGACUCGAAAGCGUGGGGAGCAAACAGG